GAUGAACGCUGGCGGCGUGCCUAAUACAUGCAAGUCGAGCGAAUGGAUUAAGAGCUUGCUCUUAUGAAGUUAGCGGCGGACGGGUGAGUAACACGUGGGUAACCUGCCCAUAAGACUGGGAUAACUCCGGGAAACCGGGGCUAAUACCGGAUAACAUUUUGAACCGCAUGGUUCGAAAUUGAAAGGCGGCUUCGGCUGUCACUUAUGGAUGGACCCGCGUCGCAUUAGCUAGUUGGUGAGGUAACGGCACACCAAGGCAACGAUGCGUAGCCGAGCUGAGAGGGUGAUCGGCCGCACUGGGACUGGGACACGGCCCAGACUCCUACGGGAGGCAGCAGUAGGGAAUCUUCCGCAAUGGACGAAAGUCUGACGGAGCAACGCCGCGUGAGUGAUGAAGGCUUUCGGGUCGUAAAACUCUGUUGUUAGGGAAGAACAAGUGCUAGUUGAAUAAGCUGGCACCUUGACGGUACCUAACCAGAAAGCCACGGCUAACUACGUGCCAGCCGCCGCAGUAA
rnacentral:rRNA from 1 species